rnacentral:lncRNA from 1 species
AUGGUGAGACUGGAGCCAGCACCACCCGCAUGUGCUCGCUGCUUUCUGUAUGCAAACAGAGAAAUACCAGUACUGUCUUCCCUUGAUGUCACUCCAUCAUUCCCACAUCAUUGCCUGCUUUGUACCAGCAACGUCCCUGAUAAUCCUCUCCCCAAGAAGCAAUUCCUUCUCCUCAGCACUGCAAGCAGCGCUUUUCAACUGUGGCAGCAUCCCGUAACCAAGCAACAAGCAGCAUCCCCAAACAAGAAAUCCAGGUGUGCAGGAGAAAGCCCUGGCUGUGUGUGUUAUAGUGCAAUCCAGUGAAAAUUGCUGCAUCACGCUUACUUCUCCUUCGUGGUAAGAUUAAAAAAAAAACAACCUGCCGUCUGCCAUGUCUUGAAAACAACCCCAUCCUCUGAGAUGUAAAGGGGAUGGCUGCCUCUUUUUGCAUCAGCCAUCGGCGGAGUUGGUCCUGGCUUGGUCUGGACACUUCCAGAGGAGUUAUACAGGCUGAGAGCAUCGCUCAGACUUGCAUCUGCUGCAGGUGGCAGAGGACA